rnacentral:rRNA from 1 species
UGGGGAAUAUUGGACAAUGGGCGCAAGCCUGAUCCAGCCAUGCCGCGUGAGUGAUGAAGGCCUUAGGGUUGUAAAGCUCUUUCGUCAGGGAAGAUAAUGACGGUACCUGAAGAAGAAGCCCCGGCUAACUUCGUGCCAGCAGCCGCGGUAAUACGAAGGGGGCUAGCGUUGCUCGGAAUCACUGGGCGUAAAGCGCACGUAGGCGGCUUUCUAAGUCAGGGGUGAAAUCCUGGAGCUCAACUCCAGAACUGCCUUUGAUACUGGAGAGCUUGAGUUCGGGAGAGGUGAGUGGAACUGCGAGUGUAGAGGUGAAAUUCGUAGAUAUUCGCAAGAACACCAGUGGCGAAGGCGGCUCACUGGCCCGAUACUGACGCUGAGGUGCGAAAGCGUGGGGAGCAAACAGG